GACAAUGACAAUAUUUAUCCCAAAUGUGAUUGUCUUUCAACAAUUCAUUAGCAAUCUUCAGCUGUACGGAAAUCAUUACAGAAAUCAUUAUAGAAAUCCUACACAAAUAUUCAUAUAUAACGAUAUAAAAUACCUCUACUUACAUUAAAGGAAAAAAAUUAUCUGUGUAUCUUUUCGUUAUGCGGUAAAGAAGGCGACCAUUCCAUUCAUCAGUCUUUCCAGAAGACUGAAUACGAUUUGGUUCAAUAGCAAUGUAAUCCUUCUAUUUCUCUUCCUCGUCGUCUCGGCUCUAUCUUCUUUUCUCCCCUUUUCUUAGUUGGCGCCCCAUCUCCUUCCUUCGGUGCUGCAUGCAUAUGGACAUUAACUUACCAUAAAAACAAAAGCAAACAUGGAAUUCUGGUGCAUUAAGCCAUUAACUAUCUAACUAUUUUUUUUCAACUUUGA
rnacentral:lncRNA from 1 species